rnacentral:rRNA from 1 species
AACGAACGCUGGCGGCAGGCUUAACACAUGCAAGUCGAGCGCCCUCUUCGGAGGGAGCGGCGGACGGGUUAGUAACGCGUGGGAACGUACCUUUUGCUACGGAAUAGCCCAGGGAAACUUGGAUUAAUACCGUAUACGCCCUUUGGGGGAAAGAUUUAUCGGCGAGAGAUCGGCCCGCGUUGGAUUAGGUAGUUGGUGGGGUAAUGGCCUACCAAGCCGACGAUCCAUAGCUGGUUUGAGAGGAUGAUCAGCAACACUGGGACUGAGACACGGCCCAG